CCCACAUCCAUCUUUUUCCAACCUAAAAAUCAAUCACAACCCCACAUCCCAAAGAGGGCCAUUCCACUCUCUUAUAUACAAAGCAAACCAUAAUCAUUAGGAGAUAACCCACACAUUAACAACAUAAAAAAAAAAAAAAAAAAUCUUAUCCCUCUCAUAAUGCUUCCACCAUUUCCUUUGUUUGUUCUGAUGCCAAUCCAAAACCCACAUAGCUCAAAGGCCGGUCAUGGUAUCUAUAAGUAGAAACGGUAGGGAGAGGUAGAGCUUCGUUGUUUGUACUCCUGGCGGCGUCGGCGCAGAACAGGUGCACUGCUUUAGUGUGCUCUUGCUAUGUACCAUCAAGGAGUUUGGACAACAGGGGUGAAGAAAGUAACAGAAGCAGCAAUAGCAACCACACCAAGAAGCAAUCCCCUGCAGAAAAGAAAGAUGGGGUCAUGGAAAAGCUCCAUAAUCAUGAAUUACAACUUCAAAAUAAGAGCAAUGGGAGCAGCUACUGUAGGAGAAGUGGGACUAAUGGGCCUCAAAUUGAACGCUCUACACUAAAGAGUAAUCUCAAGAAAAGAACAAUAGGGGGUGUGGGUGAUAAUCAACAAAGGAUAGAAAAGAGGAAAGUUAGUUGGCCGGAUGCUCAUGGCAAAGAUAUUGCUCAUGUCCAAGAAUUUGAACCAAGUGUGUCAGAAGAUGGGGAACUUGAGGGAGUAAGGAACUCUUGUGUUUGUGCCAUUCAAUGAAACAAGGUGUCUAAGGCAACGGCGGGGCUGACUAGAGUAUAUUUUCUUUCGGGGGGGAGGGGGUCCAGCGGUGAUACUUGUUAGAAAAAAAUAGUCAUAAACUUGCGUGAUGUAUAUUUUAAUUCAAUGGAAAAUAGUGGGAAAAUCAAUUUUCUUUCAAUGUUAUGUGGGUGCAUGCAAUGUUAUAUAUGAUCUAGUGUUUUGCUUUGUCAAUGCAUAGGUCAUUGGAUCUGAUAAGUUCUCUGUUUUCCUAAAAUUGGAAAAUUCUAGAUGGAUGUUUGUCCAUGAAAA